rnacentral:lncRNA from 1 species
CAAAAUUGCAGCUUUUUCUGACGUCUUUCAUCUUCCCCAAACUCAAUAUGUCUCUCUGCAAAAGCUCACUCAUUACCAACAAUGGCUCGUACAAAGAUGUCAUCUCAAAAAAACCCUUUCCCUAACACGCCCUCGUGUUCAUCAUCUCCACCAUCUUCGUCGUUCCUCACUCGAUCACCUUCGCCACCACUUAGACCCGCUCUUAUAGAAGAAUCAUUAGAAAAUACAUUUUCGG